rnacentral:rRNA from 1 species
ACGUCCUACGGGAGGGCAGCAUGUGGGGAAUGAUUGCACAAUGGGCGCAAGCCUGAUGCAGCCAUGCCGCGUGUGUGAAGAAGGGCCUUCGGGUUGAUAAAGCACUUUCAGUCGUGAGGAAGGUAGUGUAGUUAAUAGCUGCAUUAUUUGACGUUAGCGACAGAAGAAGCACCGGCUAACUCCGUGCCAGCAGCCGCGGUAAUACGGAGGGUGCGAGCGUUAAUCGGAAUUACUGGGCGUAAAGCGCAUGCAGGUGGUUUGUUAAGUCAGAUGUGAAAGCCCGGGGCUCAACCUCGGAAUUGCAUUUUGAAAACUGGCAGACUAGAGUACUGUAGAGGGGGGUGAG